rnacentral:rRNA from 1 species
UACGAAGGGGGCUAGCGUUGCCCGGAAUCACUGGGCGUAAAGCGCACGUAGGCGGAUUCCUAAGUCGGGGGUGAAAUCCUGGAGCUCAACUCCAGAACUGCCUUCGAUACUGGGAGUCUUGAGUCCGGAAGAGGUGAGUGGAACUGCGAGUGUAGAGGUGAAAUUCGUAGAUAUUCGCAAGAACACCAGUGGCGAAGGCGGCUCACUGGUCCGGUACUGACGCUGAGAUGCGAAAGCGUGGGGAGCAAACAGG